rnacentral:sRNA from 1 species
CUGUGAAACCUUAAGUAGAGAGGAUUGAUCCAUGUGGUGAGGAGUAGCAGCUCCUAGUCUUGGGUGCUUCCAGUAUGGCCCAAGGUGAGUGAUAACGGAUUAACCUCGUGAGUGUGGUAGGGUGAAACCCAUUGACAAUGGCUUUGCAAAGCAGUAGAGGCCACCACGAGUGCAUAAUCCGCCAUAGCUCGACAAUCAUUCUAGUCCGGACGAGUCAAGUGUAAAGUGCAAGAAGUUAUGUUGCGUGGUAUAUUAUAUUUGCCUUUAAUUGCAUAUUGUGUGUGAUUGAUAUAACAUGAUUUUUGUAUAUCUGGCUCACCCUUGCUUGUGUGUUUGUGUCUGCUUGGGUAUGCUUUCUUUUGCAAUGAUCAUCCACUUGGAUGUGAGCAGAGAUGGAUGAGGUGCCUCUGGAGCAAGCCUUGGAGGAAGACAAUGCCGCUACUUAGUCUUCAUAGGACUUUCUUAGUUACUUCCUGUAAUUUGAAAUACCUUAGUAUGUUUAAGUUUUAAAUUCCGACCAUAUUUGG